GGGUCAGACCCCGCGAUCGCACCUUUGGCCGGCCGGCCUCUGCCCGGCCACCGAGGAUGCGGUCAAUGGGUCGAACCC
rnacentral:pre_miRNA from 1 species